UUGUUUGGGUGGAUACUCUUUACUGUACUCAACUCAUCUCUUUUUCAACUACUUUAACGGUUCAUUUCCGUAUUCAGUAUCUAAAAUGUCUUCUCUUUCCUUCACAAAAUCAACACUGACAAGAGGCAAAGAUGAAGUUUAUGUGGCAGCAGUGCCACUAAGAGCUACAAAGGGCGUAGCCCAGCUUUUCAUGUCUACCGCGUACUCCCUCAAUUUCUGGGACUUGCAGCACUUCAUGGUCAUCGUCAAACCCUCUUCUUCUCCUCUCCCUUCUCAGGCCUUUGUUUUUGAUUUUCAACCUGAAGAUCCAGAAAACAUAUACACAGCACUUGCAGCUCUAUCUGGUAGAGCAGUACCAGAUUUGAAAGUUCAGCAGCCCUCCAAGGUAUGUCAGUCAUAUCACAUCCUUUUCAUAUUGCUUGCCUGCUUGGUUCAUGGAGACCUCAAAAUCAGAAAUCUCCCAUUGGUUUCCGAAGAAUGUUUUGUUCAGCAUUAACUGUGAUCUUCAUUCUGUUUUGCCUUGUUUCUGUGGUUCAAGAUUAUUUGUUUAGUUGCAUGCAGAUUGUCAUCACUCUUCAUGUAACUUGAAACGAAUGUAUGAGUCUGAUUCUCAAAAAUCGAAGAGGGAUGUAGGAUUUAUUUUUUGGUUAGUCAAUUCUGUGUUACCCAUAAGAAGCAGUGAAAAUUGCUACAAAUACAACAAGCUGUCAAGACAGCAACAAAUACAUGCAGCAAGCUGCCAGGACAACAAUACAGAAACUAAUUGAAAAUGGAGCUAGUUAGUCCCCAUGCUGUUCAUAUCCCUAUCAACAGAAUUAUAACCAAUAUUCUUUAAACCAUAAAGCCUCAAAUGAACAGCGUCUACAAUAUUGCAAUAAAUCUGUGAACUGGUCCUUGCAAUGUACCCAUAAAAUCUGUUGGUUCUCUCCUUCCAAAUAUGACAAACAUAAGCGUUCCCUUUGAGUCUUUUAACCACCCAAUGCAGCUCUUCCUUCCAGCCAGAGAGCUCUCUGCAAAUAUUACAAGCUGGCAGGUGUGUUUUUAGAUAAUCACAUGUCAAAAACAAGUGAUCUUUUGUCUCCAGCUCAUGUUGGAACAACAAACAAACCCACUAAUGGAAGUUUCCCAUGAAAGCAGUCUGUCUUUAGUAGGAAGUCUGUCAAGUGCAGCCAUCCAAGCAAUCAAAGCAUGCUUGGGAAUGUGACAUUGAAACCAUACAAGCCUAUGCCACUCAAUCUUCACCUGUUUGUGCCUGAUCUCAUUCCAUUCAGAGGCAGCAGAGUAAUCAACUCCAGGAACCUCCACAUCGUUUUUUUUUUUUUUUGCUCAGCAAACCUUCCAUAUCUCUCCCCCAUUGUUCUGCUGAAUAAACCUAGAGGCAACCUGUCUGAGUUGAAGCAGCUUUUUCCAGCUCCCGCUGCAUCCUUAAGAAAUUGGGAUCUGCCAUAAAUUUCUGCCUUUGAGCACAUAGGCCUCAAUCCAAGCAAUCUACAAGGAGCUUGAUUGAGUGAAGACAGACCAGAGAUUUUAAACGGAUUAAUGAAUCCAAGCAAUCCAUAUUUCUGAAAAAGGGAUAUAAGAUUAUAGAUUGAUUAUUGAACUGGAUUUUCUUUCUAAUUGAGUUGCUUAUGUUAGAUUUUCCUCUUAGUUAGGUUCGGUAUACAGCUGGCAUGCUUUUUCUAACGGGUUUUGAACAUAAGAACUUAUAUUUCUGCUAGUCACACUUGUUGCAUUUUGAGAAUAUUUUAUAAUUUGGGUUACAACAUUUGAUGGAAUAUCCAUAAACUGCCAACAUUUAGGGACAGAUGUGUGAACAUAUAUUGUGAAGAAACAAAUCAAAUACAGCUUAAACAAAACAGAGAAUGAAGAAGCAGGAGAAUAGCUGUUUUCCUUGAUAAAGUCUGCAGAGAAAAGGAAAGAGAGAACAAGAAGAAAAGAUGCAGAAAACUUCUCACAUUUGAUUCAUCUGCAAAAGCAUACAUAUACACCAGUCAUUUGCUUACAAAAUAAGUACAAAUAUCUCAGCAUUAAGUCAUCACUUCUGCUGGUAGUCUGGCGUAGCAGUAUAUCAAGCUAACCUACUCCCACUAGCUGUUGUAUUGACCACUUAAACAAAACUUGCUUAGUUUUCUGCCGCUAUUUUGCAGAAACUAAAGGCAUCAACAAGAGUUGGAUUUCACCUAGAGGAGUUAAAUCUUUAAAAACAAUCUCAAUUCUAACAUACAUAAAUCCACAAAAAGCAAAUUUUCCAAUUUGGGUUGCUGGAAACGUUUAUUGUGGAUUAGUUUAAAGUUUGGCAUUGCUUUGUUAUUGAUGACACCAGUACUUUUUUCCUUCAUAAUAUGUACUACAAUAACACUUUCAAUAGGUGUUGUUCUAGCAAGGAAGUUAACAAAACUGCCUAGGAGAAAAUGUUGGUUUGUUGGAUAUUCCAAUGAGGAUGCUGUAGCUAAAGCCUACAAGUUCAACAACACAUGGGGAGCUGAUUUGAGAGUGGGGCUUCAUGACUGUCGAGAUUACACUAAUGGAUUGGUUGAACACCUCACUGGUGAAAAACUCGUGCUGGAGCACCUGAGAAGGACCAUGGAUGGUCAGAGUUAAAUCAUCAUUUCUGUACACUACUUGAUCUCCAUUGUCUGCAAAUACAAGUACAGUAGCAAUUUCAAUUUUGGUCUUAAAGGACCAUUUGCAGAUUCCUUAGUUAUUAUAAAUUUCUUAGAGUCCAGAUUCUAGAAGUCUCAGGUUAAGUAUGGUUUAUGUUGUCUGCAUGGUAAAGGUUCUCUUACAAGGAAAUAUAUUUAUUUCUCUAUUUACACUAGAUUUUCUGUUUUUUUGGUUUCUUGACCUCCCAACUGCCACCUUGUAUGCAAUAUGCCAAGUCCAUAUUUUUUUAAGUAUAUGAAUUUUGUAUAUUGUUCAUAGA